rnacentral:ncRNA from 1 species
AUGAUAGAGGCGCGAUUUCCAUCAGUACCCUCCGUUUGACCAGGUUUCGCGGUGUGGGAAAGGGGCAGUCGCCGAGGUGCGGUAUAGCGUUGACCUGAACGCAGCCGUUGCCGGGUCUGUGGAUAAUAUCCCCAGAACUGUCACAUUUUUGUGGAGCGCUGUC